rnacentral:lncRNA from 1 species
CAUUCCUCCCCAACCACCUCACCCAUCCUCUCGGUGCCCAGCAAACAUUCACUGAUGGCCGCCCUCUUCCAGACUCCCGCCCGGCUCUCUGGCAUGCAGGAAAACUGAGCAUGGUCCCGGCCUGGGGAGGGAGACGGGCGGAGUGUCCCAAGCACCAUGGCUGACACCUGGAAGGAGGGAUCACUCCACCUGGGAGGUGGGGACCGAGGUAAAGCGGUGACUCUGGAGGCCGAGGAAGAGAGGACAAAUCGUGUGGCCGGAUCUCCACACUAGCCUGACACCAGGGAACCCGCCGUGGCCAGCUUUAUCCGAUGCUGAAAGGGUCAUUUCCCACCUGACGUAAGGGGAGCAGCCCUUCGCCCACAGCCCCACCUCUGCUGGGUAACUUGGAAUUUCAAGCCCAGUGACCCCUGAAGUGUCCUCUAAACCUGCGUGGCCCAGAGGAUGUCCCACUUGUCCUGAGAAAGGUUCCAUGGGGAACAUGACACUGGUAUCAAAUAAGCCUGGGGAAGACUGCACACUCGGGCCCCUUCUUAGAAGAUCAAAGUCCCUGUUAACAAUUAAAGGCUCUGAGAAGUCCUGCAAGAGAGAAGCCUGUCUGACUUUGUAGAAUCCAGUGUUUCCCUGGCUUAUUGCAUCCAGAACCUUUCUUUUCUCUCAAAACAACAGCCACAGAGCUUCACUUGGGAAAUACAUCCAAAAUGCAAAGUGGCAUUGCCCGCUGCCAUCUUGACACAGGCGAGCUUCUUUCCAGAGUCUCAGGGAGGAAAAGCAGGAGUCGGCUGUGUCUGGUAAGAGGCCCUGUGGUCCAGAGAGCAGGAGACUCUGCAGACCCACCAGGGCUCAGCAUGGCCAUCCCUCUCUCAGCCUCCAGGAGACCCUGUCUCCAGAGCCACUGUCCCCAGAAAAGGUGUCAUUGAGCAGCAGCCUCAGAAGAGGGGCAAGCUUAGCCAAGAGGGGAGGCCAGAUGUGUGCAGCAUCACGGAUGGGAGAGGCACGGAAGGCUGGGACACCCAGGCAGCAGGGAGUGAUGGCGUCUCCGGGCAUCCCCUGGGGCAGAUACAGCCUCGUCCUUCGGCUGGACUUGAACCAAAGACCAAUUCGUGUCUCCACCUCACACCCCCACCCUGCCCAGCCUGUCUUCUCCUAGUCCCUCUGCAUCCCCAGGGCCUGGGACCAUCUCCCAGCCCCUACCUGUGUGCUCUGAGACUCUUACCCUCUUUGGGGCCGAGGGGGCAAGGAUCCUGCUCCCGCUCCCGCUCCCGCCCCCUCCCUCCUGCACCGACUCUUGGCUGCCUCCUGAAGCCAGACAAUACAGGGAAAUGUUUGCACCCAAACAACUCCGCUGCUUCAGGAACUGGCUGACCCUGCCCAGGAAAGCACUCCUGCAGCUCCACCCUGGUCCCCUCAGUCCGAGGACCAGAGACCAAAGCUGAAGGGGCAGCCCAGCAGAGGUCAGCAGAGCCAGAGAGGUCAUAGGCAUCCCCGAUGUGGCCGAGGGGAGCACAGGGGUCGCCUCUCUCUAGGGACCGGGGCUUUCUUGCCUGCCUAAGUCAGAAAGGGAGGGCUGUUCCCGACUGUGGAUAUGCAAAAGCCAGAUUGUCAAUAUUUAUCUAGAGAGCUGUGGCUCUGGAUUAAUCUGGCCUGAAGAUAAUGAAAAGAGCACUUUGAUGUGACUUGAGAAAUGUAUUAAUUCAUUCAACAAGCAUUUGCCACACUUGGGGUCUGGGCCAAGCCGCAUGCCGGGCACUGAGGAUUCGGGGGUAUGAGCCUCACCCCGCCCUGGAGAGGCCCACGGUCCAAGGGGGAGACAGAACCCAAAAUGGAAUGGGGGGCAGGUGGGUGCUGCUCUGCCCCAGCUGAAGUUCCUCUUGAGAAACGCUAACCUGGCAUUGGCUAAAGCAGGGGCUGCAGGAUCAAUGCAC